rfam:TPA: Bos taurus chromosome X, whole genome shotgun sequence.
UCCCUGGUGGUCCAGUGGCUAAAACUCUGUGCUCCCAAUGCAGCGGACCCAGGUUCCAUUCCUGGGCAGGGAA